rnacentral:rRNA from 1 species
GAUGAACGCUAGCGGCAGGCCUAAUACAUGCAAGUCGAACGGGUGGUCGCAAGACCACUAGUGGCGCACGGGUGCGUAACGCGUAACCAACCUGCCCCGAUCUGGGGGAUAGCCCGCCGAAAGGCGGAUUAAUACCGCAUAUACCCGCAGCCUGGCAUCAGGCAACGGGGAAAGAUUUAUUGGAUCGGGAUGGGGUUGCGUGACAUUAGCUAGUUGGCGGGGUAAGGGCCCACCAAGGCGACGAUGUCGAGGGGACCUGAGAGGGUGAUCCCCCACACUGGCACUGAGAUACGGGCCAGAGUCCGACGGGAGGCAGCAGUAGGGAAUAUUGGGCAAUGGGCGAGAGCCUGACCCAGCCAUGCCGCGUGCCGGAUGAAGGCCUUCUGGGUUGUAAACGGCGUUUCUCAGGGAAGAAAAAGACCUUGCGAGGUACACUGACGGUACCUGAGGAAUAAGCACGGGCUAACUCCGUG